rnacentral:tmRNA from 1 species
GGGGGCGCACCGGUCUCGACCGGUUUGCGUGCGCUUCAGGUCGCGUGUCGGGGAUCUCGAGUCAUCCCGUAAAAUCCUCUCGGGAAACGGCAUAACCUGCCAAUGAUUACGCUCUCGCUGCCUAAGAACUAGGCCAGCCGUCCUCCGCGGAGCGCCUGCGGCCGCGGUACGACGCCACCAGCAGGCUGGCCGGGUCGGCUCACCGUCGAGCACGCCCCGGCGAGACAGAUCGACGGCGGUUUUCGGGGAGCCUGCCCAUGGGCGCCCCGGAGACGGCACAAACCAAGGGCUACACACGUAGACGCCGGUCGCGGAUGGAUUCCGGGACGCGGGUUCGACUCCCGCCGCCUCCACCA